rnacentral:lncRNA from 1 species
GCUUCCUUGUCAGAUUGCUGCCUCUCCACAUCCUUUGACCAUGCCAAGACUGCCAUUCCUUCAUCCCUACUCUUUAUGCCCAAUCCAUCAGUGCAGUGCAGGUGCAAAGAGAUACCAACAGAAGGGAUGAACAGCCGUGGCCCACGCUGCCAUCCUCCGACCUGGACACCAGCAGGCACCUCCCAGCUGGUUUGCUGCCUCCCAUU